GCCUAAGAGAGAGACCUGCAAUAGGCAUGAGAAACAAUGGAUUGCCAUCCUGUUUGGGUUACCAACAUUUAAGGAGCAGUGGGGCCCAGGCCAGCCAUCCCAGUGCCAAGGCACGGCCCCCUAAGGAUAGAUGAUCCAGGGAUGGAUCAGCGGACACUUGGCCCCCAUUUCCAGCUUGUCUCAGCCAGAUGACUCAAGAUGCUCAUCAGAAGAACACUUCAGUUCCCAGGAGCUCUGUCGACACAGCUGAGUUAAGCAGAGUGAAAAGAGUACACACACAAUGCUACUAAUGGAUUCAGAGGCUGUCUCUCAAAAGACACAACACAGAAGAGGCAGCCCAGAGGGAGGUGUUUUUCCUGCUUUACCUGGGCUGUCUAUGUGCUCCACUGUAGCUCAGAAUCCACAUGACUUGGAGAACUACAGCUGCUUCAGAGUCUGUCUAUUUAAGGUACCAAUAUAUCCCUCAUUACUGUAGUAUCUGAGCAUCUCACAAUAUGUAUAACACCCUGUGAGGCAGGGCAAUGCUUUUAUCCCCAUUUUACAGAAGGGCACCAAGGCACACAGAGACUAACUUGUCCAAAGUCCCUCAGGAAGCCUGCAGUGAAGCAAGGACUUAACGCAGACGUCCGGAGUCCUAGGCUAGUACCCUAACCACUGGACUAUCUUUUCCACUCAUGGACUCCUGAUUCUAUCUUUCAACAGAGAGUUUGUAAAUAUUGCUGCUUAUCACAUAGCUUUAUAAAUGACAGAUUCCGUGGAGGAAACAGAAAUAUCCCUACAUGGGUCCCCAUAAAGUUUAUGCUUUCACAUGUACGGAAGAUGAGAACUGAACCCAAAGUAACCAUCUUCCUUUUACAGAAGACACAGUCUCUAUAUGCAGCCUGGCAAAGAACCAGUCAAUAUUAAUUUCUAAAUUUACUACAAAAUAAAAAGGUUAAUAGGGUGCUACUAAAAAACACAAAAGACUGUCAACAAAUUUGUGUAGUCUGUGAUAUGUAGUUUAGUGAUGAGUCCCUAGAUGUUGGUAAUUUUUUUUUUUAAAUAAAAAGUAAAAACCAAAGACCUCAAUUGGCAGAUGUUUGGGCCAGUCUUUGUAUGAAUGGUUCCUGGUUUCCUGAAGAAUGGUUUGAAACAGCCAUUGCUGGUGCUCCAUUCAGAAUGUUUAUUGUUCUCUCUACUUUCCCAUUCUGUCAGUUGCUAUAC